UUUUGAAAAGUACGUUAUUUUCUACGAGCUUACGUUAAGAUUUCCGGGAGAUUUUCCUAAUAGGGCGAAUAAAAGUGACCCAGGACAGCUGUGUGGGUCACCUGGGGCGGGGGUCCUCCGAGUGAGGCCCCCAGACUGACGUCGUCGCCACCUGGGCGUUUGUUGGAGACACGAGUUAACAGGCAUUUCCCCAGAAACGCCGG